rnacentral:rRNA from 1 species
AGUGAACGCUGGCGGCGUGCCUAAUACAUGCAAGUCGAACGGAGAUUAAGUAGCUUGCUAUUUAAUCUUAGUGGCGCACGGGUGAGUAAUAUAUAGCUAACUUGCCCAUUACUAAGGGACAACAGUUGGAAACGACUGCUAAUACCUUAUACUCCGUAUCUAUAUAAAUAGGUACGGGAAAGUUUUUCGGUAAUGGAUAGGGCUAUAUCGUAUCAGCUAGUUGGUAAGGUAACGGCUUACCAAGGCUAUGACGCGUAACUGGUCUGAGAGGAUGAUCAGUCACACUGGAACUGAGACACGGUCCAGACUCCUACGGGAGGCAGCGUAGGGAAUAUUGCUCAAUGGGGGAAACCCUGAAGCAGCAACGCCGCGUGGAGGAUGACACUUUUCGGAGCGUAAACUCCUUUUCUUGGGAAAGAAUUAUGA